UAAUGGCAGUGCAGCCUUUCCUUAUCUUUCACCAGGAUAGAGUGUCUCUGAGAACCAAUCCUACUUUCAUGACAAAGGUGGUAUCCAGGGUAUCCUUGAACCAAGCUAUUCAUUUACCUACGUUCUUCCCUAACCCACAGAACAGGGG